rnacentral:tRNA from 1 species
CGGAUGUAGCCAAGUGGAUCAGGGC